rnacentral:rRNA from 1 species
AUUGAACGCUGGCGGCAUGCUUUACACAUGCAAGUCGAACGGUAACAGGCCUUCGGGCGCUGACGAGUGGCGAACGGGUGAGUAAUGCAUCGGAACGUGCCCAGUCGUGGGGGAUAACUAUCCGAAAGGAUAGCUAAUACCGCAUACGAUCUGCGGAUGAAAGCGGGGGACCUUCGGGCCUCGCGCGAUUGGAGCGGCCGAUGUCAGAUUAGGUAGUUGGUGGGGUAAAGGCUCACCAAGCCAACGAUCUGUAUAUGGUCUGAGAGGAAGACCAGCCACACUGGGACUGAGACACGGCCCAGGAUCCUACGGGAGGCAGCAGUGGGGAAUUUUGGACAAUGGGCGCAAGCCUGAUCCAGCAAUGCCGCGUGCAGGAAGAAGGCCUUCGGGUUGUAAACUGCUUUUGUACGGAACGAAACGGCUCUGGUUAAUACCCGGGGCUAAUGACGGUACCGUAAGAAUAAGCACCGGCUAACUACGUGCCAGCCGCCGCGGUAAGAC